rnacentral:piRNA from 1 species
UUGUCUAGUGAGUCCAUCUCUUCCA